AAAUCUGUGUUUGUCUCAUUUAGCUAAUGGAAUACGAGUUAAUUUACAUUGUAGAAAAAGAACAGGAUUAAAAAUGCACAAACAGUUGGUCCAAUUACAGGAGAAUUGUGUUGUAGCUUUUGAUUUUGACCACAAGAUGGAAGCAUUUAGUUGUGGCAAAUACAGGGGAUGUUACAGCAAUGCAACAUUGAAGUAAUCUGGCACCGCUGCAUGAUCAAGCGUUCCUCAGGAAAUGUUGUGGACCUCCAAAGAUUAACCUGCUGACCUCUCAGUGAUCCCCGAUGAUGCCAUCCGCAGGGUUGAAAAGGCAUAGCCUUACUGGACGCUAUAAUGCUCCACUAACCCCACAGCAAUGAAAGUGAAUCAAGAUGUCAAACAAGUGGUACGACAACCUCCCUGGGUCUGGACAUCCCGUGAACUCCAGCAGACCUCUCUGAAAACAUUCUUCCAACGGUGUGAGAGCUGAACUGCUAUAAAUAAAGUUUCA